GUUUAACAUAGGACCCUAUGGGAAAUGCAUACAAAUGACUUCUUUUAGAGAACCACUGAAUGGAAUGAAACCAAACAUAGUAUGAAUGUUCCUUAUGAGGUGCUGAUCAAGUGUUUUUACUUUGUAGCCGAUCCAACAUCCAAGAUGGCCACCAGUGGGGUGUCUUUGUUUAACAUAGGACCCUAUGGGAAAUGCAUACAAAAGUCUUCUUCUAGAGAACCACUGAAUUGAAUGAAAUCAAAC
rnacentral:lncRNA from 1 species